rnacentral:rRNA from 1 species
GACGAACGCUGGCGGCGUGCUUAACACAUGCAAGUCGAACGAGUGGCGAACGGGUGAGUAAUACGUGGGAACCUGCCUGGUAGUGGGGGAUAACGUCCGGAAACGGGCGCUAAUACCGCAUACUAUCAGAUGAGCCUAGGUCGGAUUAGCUAGUAGGUGGGGUAAAGGCUCACCUAGGCGACGAUCUCUAGCUGGUCUGAGAGGAUGAUCAGCCACACGUGGACUGAGACACGGCCCAGACGCCUACGGGAGGCAGCAGUGGGGAAUAUUGCACAAUGGGCGCAAGCCUGAUGCAGCCAUGCCGCGUGUAUGAAGAAGGCCUUAGGGUUGUAAAGUACUUUCAGCGGUGAGGCGUUACCCGCAGAAGAAGCACCGGCUAACUCCGUGCCAGCAGCCGCGGUAAUUC